rnacentral:rRNA from 1 species
CCUACGGGUGGCUGCAGUAGGGAAUUUUCGUCAAUGGGCGCAAGCCUGAACGAGUAAUGCCGCGUGAACGAGGAAGGUCUUCGGAUCGUAAAGUUCUGUUGAAGGGGAAAAAGAGCGGAGAGAGGAAAUGAACUCCGAUUGAUAUUACCCUUCGAGGAAGUCACGGCUAACUACGUGCCAGCAGCCGCGGUAAUACGUAGGGGGCGAGCGUUAUCCGGAAUGAUUGGGCGUAAAGGGUGCGUAGGCGGCCUGCUAAGUCUGGAGUGAAAGGUACCGGCUUAACCGGGACAGGCUCUGGAAAAUGGGGGGAUAGAGGGCAGGAGAGGGAGGUGGAACUGCAAGGGUAGCGGUAAAAUGCGGAGAUAAAUGGAAGAAAACCAGUGGCGAAGGGGGCCGCCUGGCAUGUUGACUGACGCUGAGGCACGAAAGCGUGGGGAGCAAAUAGGAUUAGAUACCCUAGUAGUC